CCUACGGGUGGCUGCAGUGGGGAAUAUUGCACAAUGGGCGCAAGCCUGAUGCAGCCAUGCCGCGUGUGUGAAGAAGGCCUUCGGGUUGUAAAGCACUUUCAGCGGGGAGGAAGGCGGUGAGGUUAAUAACCUCAUCGAUUGACGUUACCCGCAGAAGAAGCACCGGCUAACUCCGUGCCAGCAGCCGCGGUAAUACGGAGGGUGCAAGCGUUAACCGGAAUUACUGGGCGUAAAGCGCACGCAGGCGGUCUGUCAAGUCGGAUGUGAAAUCCCCGGGCUCAACCUGGGAACUGCAUUCGAAACUGGAAGGCUGGAGUCUUGUGGAGGGGGGUAGAAUUCCAGGUGUAGCGGUGAAAUGCGUAGAGAUCUGGAGGAAUACCGGUGGCGAAGGCGGCCCCCUGGGCAAAGACUGACGCUCAGGUGCGAAAGCGUGGGGAGCAAACAGGAUUAGAUACCCUAGUAGUC
rnacentral:rRNA from 1 species